AUUCUCUUGGUACUUCAUGUAGUUAAGUUAUAAAUGUUAUUGUUUAGCUGGGACAGAGACAUUCUAGCAUAAAAAUAUUCAAAUUACCAGCUUCGUUUAUUAGUUACGGGAGCUUUCGAAAGACGUUCGUCUUUCUUCGUCAGCCUGUCUUUGCAGUGUCAGACACCCUUGAAAUUCCCUAUGGGUGCAGUUGGGUAGAUGGCGCUGCUGUGCUGUAUGGUGUACAGAGUUUGCAUUUAUAUUCUAAUGGAUUUGCUUCAACUACAUCAAAUAAACAAAUCCACGAUAAUAAAUAAAUAAAUUCAUAUACAAUACUUCAAAGAAAACGCGUCGGGAAAAUAUUGGGAACAUAAUGCAGCCCUAGUAGCCCAUGUUCAACCGUUGGCUUCCAUGCGGCCGGCCGCCAUACUAGUUUGAAACGUGCGCGACUGCGGGCGGAGGCGCUGGUGGGAUUACGGUGUGUUGGGAGUAUAAGUGUGUGCAAGUGAGUUAGAAGUGAUCGUGAGUGGUGUCUUGGUACUCGAAGAGCUCCAGUUUUAGCAAAGAUGUGAGGUCGCUGCCCCUCGAAGGCGCUGCCCUUGGUUGAGGCGCGAGCGGCCCAACAGCAAGCCCAUCGUCCGGUGACUGGGCGCCCGGCGCCGAAGAUGAUCUCACAGCGCAAAUAAUGAGUCGAUGGCGCCCGGCGUCCGCCCGGCUACCACGGGAGCCCGGUAGUCGCCGGCGCCGUGAAGAGCGACCACUCAUGGCGGCCCUCGAGAGUGGCGCUCUGCACUCGUGCAGGUGCGAGGUGCCCGGUGACCAUCUGUCAUAGGGAGCCGAUGGGCGCACUCGACAUCUGUCCGCAGAUUCCCACAGCUCUGACGGCCUGUCCAAUGGCGGCGGCCGGCGCCAUAAACUGGAGCGGUAAAAAUAUGUUUCCAGUGAUGCCAGCUGUCGAAAGUGACAAUCUGAUUUUAGGGUGGCAUGUGAGAAAAGUCGCUUUUUUCUGGUUGAUUUAAAAUAUACAAUUAUGUCAUUUG